UAGGGAAUCUUCCACAAUGGGCGCAAGCCUGAUGGAGCAACGCCGCGUGAGUGAUGAAGGCCUUCGGGUUGUAAAACUCUGUCUUCUGUGACGAAACAGUGCGUGAGUGGAAAGCUCGCACCUUGACGGUAACAGAGGAGGAAGCCACGGCUAACUACGUGCCAGCAGCCGCGGUAAUACGUAGGUGGCAAGCGUUGUCCGGAAUCACUGGGCGUAAAGCGCGCGCAGGCGGCGAUCUACGUCUGGGGUGAAAGCCCGGAGCUCAACUCCGGGACUGCCUUGGAUACGGGAUCGCUUGAGGAUUGGAGAGGCGAGGGGAAUUCCACGUGUAGCGGUGAAAUGCGUAGAUAUGUGGAGGACACCUGUGGCGAAGGCGCCUUGCUGGGCCAAUUUCUGACGCUGAGGCGCGAAAGCGUGGGGAGCGAAACAGGAUUAGAUACCCUGGUAGUCCACGCCGUAAACGAUGAGUGCUAGGUGUU
rnacentral:rRNA from 1 species